rnacentral:ncRNA from 1 species
UAAAGGCGAAUAGCGCAGGUACCCGGCGAAGGCAGUCGUCAGGGUCGACGAGGUGAAGGGUUAUCGAAUCAUCAGCGGAUGCUCUUCCGGCCUCUCAGGUCGUAACAAGUAAAGCAAAGCCAAUCGGUGACGAUUGAACAAAGGUUACUUGAAAGAGAUGU